UACGUAGGGCGCAAGCGUUAUCCGGAAUUAUUGGGCGUAAAGAGCUCGUAGGCGGUUUGUCGCGUCUGCCGUGAAAAGUCCGGGGCUCAACUCCGGAUCUGCGGUGGGUACGGGCAGACUAGAGUGAUGUAGGGGAGACUGAAUUCCUGGUGUAGCGGUGAAAUGCGCAGAUAUCAGGAGGAACACCGAUGGCGAAGGCAGGUCUCUGGGCAUUAACUGACGCUGAGGAGCGAAAGCAUGGGGAGCGAACCGG
rnacentral:rRNA from 1 species